rnacentral:lncRNA from 1 species
GAGGGAAAGCGGCGCUCUGAGCCCAGACACUGCCGUCUUGACCGAGAAUGGCGGCGGCGGUGAGGUGGUUGCCUUCGACAUCGCACAUAAGGUGGUCGUCAACGUACGAUUGCCACGACAUCUUCUUCUUCUUCUUUCUUCUCCUGACGACUUGGUGAAAGACUUUUCUACUUCUCUCUCUCGGUUAGACUUUGUGAGCGUAGACAAUGAAAUAUUUGUGCUUUAAAUUAAUCAUUUUCGUAAUUUAUUAUUAUUUUUUGGGCUGUCAAAGCAAAUUAAUCAUACAUCAAAUCUAGGAAUAUCCCACAAUUAUUAUUUUUUCUUUCAAAUUGUUAGUUAAGUUUUUUUUAAAAAAAAUUAUAUUUACUAUAGAAAGAGCGUAGGAGUAGAAUGUUUAAAUGGGAAAUCGGAAAGGAAACUACAAGUCUACAACUACAAUAAGUCAGUUUAGUCAUAAAAUGGUAUAUGUAAACAAUCACCUACCUUUGUGACAAAAAAAAAUCACCUACCUACACAACGAGCUGAAUAAUAAGUAAGUCGCAGCGACGCCACCACCGAGCCAAACACCAUAAACAGAACAAUCGAACAUCAAGAGAGUUAGAGUUGAAGAAAGACCUGAAGAACCAAAGAAAUGAAAGCAAAUCAAAAUCAUACAAUGUUAAUGCAAAAUGGAGAAAAUUUAUUUAACAUAAUUUAUAUCUAUACUAUACUAAAAGGAACUAAUAAAGCCUUCUAAAGCUGUCCACGUCACUUAUUAAAUUUAGCCAAUCAGAACAUUUCAAUUAAAAUUUUGGGCUUUUGUUUCUAAUGUACCUAUAUUAAGUGAAAAAUGCCCAACGACAGUGGGUCAAGAGAGUGUUAUUAGCCCAGUUCGAAUAAAAAGCAAUUAGCCCAAUUCAAAAAGAGCUUCCAAUCCUACUAUGGAUCCACGCCGUCUCUUCUCCUCCCCACUUCGUCUUCUCGGCUUGAAACCUUCUCGGCUGAGUUCUCAUCGAUUCACUUUCACACAUUCAAUUUUCGACUCCCGAUGCUGUCGGGUAUCUCGCCGGAGAUCAAGUUCGACGACAAGUUUAAAGCUUUGAGGCUGGAGAGGAGAGUAAUCGAAGUGGGUAUUGGUCCUUUGAUGAGAUUAUCCGAUAAGUCGAUGAAUGUGAGAUUCGAGUGGAAGGAUUUUGGGAUGUUCCCGGAGAGAUUGGCGUGGGAGAUGGUGAGGGAGACGAUGUCGUGCAUGUUCCCGAGGAUGACGAAUAGCCCCGAGGUGGAGACAGGGACGGAGGAGACAGUGAUGUCGGUGAGGUUGACGAGGCGAGCGAGGGAGAGUCCCGAGAGGCGGGGGAAGGAGGAGACGGCGGAGAAGGAGUGGAGCGAGUCCGGGAGGUGAGGGGGAGCGGAGAGGGAAGGGCAGUUGUGGAAAGAGAGGGAGGUGAGGGAGGGGGAAAGGGCUUUGAGGGCUGUGGAGGAGAUGGAGAGAUCGGAGGAGCAGUUUGUGAAGGAGAGGGAGGUGACGAGGCGGAAUGGGGAGCCGGUGUCGCAGGUUACGACGGUGGUGGGGGGUUUUUUGGAGGAGGAGGGGUGGUGGUGGUCGCAGGGGUUCUUGAGGGUGGGGAUGUUGAGGGAUUCGAAGGCUUUGAGCUGCUUUGGGUCGAGUGGGGAGGUGGAGGAUGUGCGAGGGGGAGUGGGGGAGGUGCGUGGGACGGGGGAGAUGGUUGGAGAUGGGGUUGGGGAGAGGGAAAGGAGCGGCGUAGAUAGUGGCGGAGAAGAGGAGUAACGGUAACAGAAGUAAAGGCUAAGUCUUGGUGUAGAAGACAUGUAAUGGAAUAAUACCAGUCUUUGUGAAAAUGGGGUUUUACAUAAUCUUUGUGAAAAUGGAAUAAUACCAGUCAAUGGUGCGAAAGAACUUGCUCAUGAGAUCAUGCAGAGAAGGUAAGAAGACAAUCUAGCGUAGAUACCAAUGACCAAGGCUUGAGUCGUCUUCUUGAUAGUAACUCCUCCAGGUCCCUGCAAAAUGAAGUCUGAUCACAUUGUCUAAUCAUAAAAUCUUCAUAAUCAGUAGGAAACAUGUGACAUGUUGUUUACCUUCUUCCCUCGGAUGACAGCUCCAGGUUCACCUUGAAUAACCAUGUAUUUAGCUCCACCGAGAAACAAACCGGUCGGGGCAAGAAACCCAGGCUCCUCGAAGUCCUUUGUGAUCCCAUUGAUUUCUUCAGUCUUCAACUGUAACAAAACAUAUCAACAAGACAUUAUUAGAUUGAACACUAAUCAAACUUAAGAUCUUCUACGGAUAAUCAAGACUUAAGAUCUAGAACCCUAGGUUCAACUCGACUGAUUCAGAACGCACAGAUCCGAGAUUCCUCAGAUCCGAUCAGAGAAGAGAAGAGAAAGAGAGGAAACCUGAGGGAAAGCGGCGCUCUGAGCCCAGACACUGCCGUCUUGACCGAGAAUGGCGGCGGCGGUGAGGUGGUUGCCUUCGACAUCGCACAUAAGGUGGUCGUCAACGUACGAUUGCCACGACAUCUUCUCCGAUGACUUUGUGAAAGACUUCUCUACUUCUCUCUCUCGGUUAGACUUCGUGAGCGCAGACAAUGAAAUGUUUGUGCUUUAAAUUAAUAAUUUUCGUAAUUUAUUAUUAUUUUUGGGCUGUCAAAGCAA